UAAUGAUGAAGUCAUGAGCACAACAGAAAUCAUUGUUAUCACCACUGUCCCUAAUCCCACUGUGUCCACAUGGUGCCACCCUGAGAUGACCUACUGUAUUCUCACUUGUGAACCCAACGUCACAGACGACGCCAAACCGAUCACCUAUUACUGGGUGACUGGUGAUAUGGUGAAACAGUCUCCAACCAAUCAGUUCAACAUCACACAGGAAAACAGAGAGCGUUUGAUAAGCUGUCAGCUGGAAAACCCAGUCAGCCAUGAAUACAGUGAAAAAUCCUGAAUCCACUCUUAAUCAGGAAUCGGGCUUUACUGAGCUUACCAUUUGUAGGGAUUCUGGUGUUCCUGUUUGGCCUUAUUUGUUGCAAAUGCUGUUGUUGUACCCGCAGGACCCGAAGACAUCGCUCCUCCACCAUCAACACUGUGAGAUAGAGCAGUGCUGGAUCAAACUGUGACGAUGAGGAUGAAGAAGAGUUGGUGUUGCAUAAGCCACCAGCCA